UCCACGCCGUAAACGAUGUCAACUAGAUGUUGGGAGGGUCUACCUCUUAGUGUCGCAGCUAACGCGUUAAGUUGACCGCCUGGGGAGUACGGCCGCAAGGUUAAAACUCAAAGGAAUUGACGGGGGCCCGCACAAGCGGUGGAGCAUGUGGUUUAAUUCGAUGCAACGCGAAGAACCUUACCAUCCCUUGACAUCCAGAGAAUCUGUUAGAGAUAGUAGAGUGCCUUGGGAAC
rnacentral:rRNA from 1 species